rnacentral:rRNA from 1 species
CCUACGGGUGGCAGCAGUAGGGAAUAUUGCACCAUGGGCGAAAGCCUGAUGCAGCAACGCCGCGUGAGUGAAGAAGGCCUUCGGGUCGUAAAACUCUUUUCAAGGGAAAGAGGAAGGACGGUACCCUUGGAAUAAGCAUCGGCUAACUACGUGCCAGCAGCCGCGGUAACACGUAGGAUGCAAGCGUUAUUCGGAUUUACUGGGCGUAAAGCGCGUGUAGGCGGUUAGGAGAGUUGGAUGUGAAAGCUCCCGGCUUAACUGGGAGAGGUCGUUCAAAACUUCCUGACUAGAGUUUGGUAGAGGAAAAUGGAAUUCCGGGUGUAGUGGUGAAAUGCGUAGAUAUCCGGAGGAACACCAGUGGCGAAAGCGAUUUUCUGGACCGAUACUGACGCUCAGACGCGAAAGCUAGGGUAGCAAACGGGAUUAGAUACCCGAGUAGUC